rnacentral:rRNA from 1 species
AUUGAACGCUGGCGGCGUGCUUAACACAUGCAAGUCGAACGCGAAAGGGACUUCGGUCCUGAGUAAAGUGGCGGCACGGGUGAGUAACGCGUGGAUAAUCUGCCCUUAUGAUCGGGAUAACAGUUGGAAACGGCUGCUAAUACCGGAUACGCUCAAAAUGAACUUUUUGAGGAAAGAUGGCCUCUGCUUGCAUGCUAUCACGUAAGGAUGAGUCCGCGUCCCAUUAGCUUGUUGGCGGGUAACGGCCCACCAAGGCAACGAUGGGUAGCCGAUUUGAGAGGAUGAUCGGCCACACUGGAACUGAAACACGGUCCAGACUCCUACGGGAGGCAGCAGUGGGGAAUAUUGCGCAAUGGGCGAAAGCCUGACGCAGCGACGCCGCGUGAGGGAUGAAGGUUUUCGGAUCGUAAACCUCUGUCAGAAGGGAAGAAACUACGUUGUGCUAAUCAGCAGCGUACUGACGGUACCUUCAAAGGAAGCACCGGCUAACUCCGUGCCAGCCGCUGC